rnacentral:lncRNA from 1 species
GUUGGGUGUCUCAGAGUUCUUUCAGAUUUGAAAUAAAAGCCAGGUCACAUAUUUUGAGGCAAGUAAUAGGAGGGAAACAUUUCUCAACAUGCCAUCUGCUCUUAGUAUCUAAAAAGUAAUUUGUCAUGUUUCAGGGAACUGGGACUUCUCCAGACAUCUGUUGGUGUUUCCCUAAAGUUGGUU